AUUGAACGCUGGCGGCAGGCCUAACACAUGCAAGUCGAGCGGAUGAAGAGAGCUUGCUCCUGGAUUCAGCGGCGGACGGGUGAGUAAUGCCUAUGAAUCUGCCUGGUAGUGGGGGAUAACGUCCGGAAACGGGCGCUAAUACCACAUACGUCCUGAGGGAGAAAGUGGGGGAUCUUCGGACCUCACGCUAUCAGAUGAGCCUAGGUCGGAUUAGCUAGUUGGUGGGGUAAAGGCCUACCAAGGCGACGAUCCGUAACUGGUCUGAGAGGAUGAUCAGUCACACUGGAACUGAGACACGGUCCAGACUCCUACGGGAGGCAGCAGUGGGGAAUAUUGGACAAUGGGCGAAAGCCUGAUCCAGCCAUGCCGCGUGUGUGAAGAAGGUCUUCGGAUUGUAAAGCACUUUAAGUUGGGAGGAAGGGCAGUAAGUUAAUACCUUGCUGUUUUGACGUUACCAACAGAAUAAGCACCGGCUAACUUCGUG
rnacentral:rRNA from 1 species